AUGCCUCCGCCGUUGUGGGACAUGCUGCCGCUGGCCGCGGCGGCGUCCGAGUGCUGGCUCACCGGAUCAGGCACGAUCAAGAGACGCACCAACCAAAGCAAACGCCACCCGUGCACAGUGCGCGUGCACGGCCACCUCACCGUCGUCUACGGGCUGCUGGAGCUGGGGGGUUCUUCAUGCACCAGCCAGCCCCUCCACCGCCUCCAGGCCCAGCACGACGAGGACGCGCCCCGGAGCUUCGACCGCACGUUCCUGCUCGACGGCCCCAGGGCCUUCUUCCGGAGCCGCUCGGCCUGCCGCGACGAGAUCCACCGGAUGCUCACGCGGACGCCGGCCCUCCGCGACUUCGACCUCGCCGCCGCCCACUGGGACGGCGGCUUCCUGCCCGACGACCUCGCCGGAACCAUCACGGAGAGGGCCCGGCUCGGCGAGGAGGAUCACGGCGGCGACGCGCCGCGCUUCACCCUCGAGUUUUCCCUGGCCGUCUUCGUGCGGGCCGUCUGCAGCGAGGCCAGGCUGCUGGCGCUCGCGUGCCGGGAGGCCACCGCCCAGUGUGGGCUGUCCGUGGCGGACCGCUGUUGCUGCUGCAUAUGUCAGGAACUCAGGAUCAGGAUAUCGCGGCUGCUGAGGGCGGCGGCGACGACGACGGCACCGUGA
rnacentral:rRNA from 1 species